rnacentral:rRNA from 1 species
AUACGGAGGGGGCUAGCGUUGUUCGGAAUUACUGGGCGUAAAGCGCGCGUAGGCGGCGCGACCAGUUAGGCGUGAAAGGCCUGGGCUCAACCCAGGGACUGCGCUUAAUACUGUUGUGCUUGAGUCCGGGAGAGGGUGGUGGAAUUCCCAGUGUAGAGGUGAAAUUCGUAGAUAUUGGGAAGAACACCAGUGGCGAAGGCGGCCACCUGGCCCGGUACUGACGCUGAGGUGCGAAAGCGUGGGGAGCAAACAGGAUUAGAAACCCCAGUAGUCC